UUUAUGGAGAGUUUGAUCCUGGCUCAGGAUGAACGCUGGCGGCGUGCCUAAUACAUGCAAGUCGAGCGAACAGACGAGGAGCUUGCUCCUUUGACGUUAGCGGCGGACGGGUGAGUAACACGUAGGUAACCUACCUAUAAGACUGGGAUAACUUCGGGAAACCGGAGCUAAUACCGGAUAAUAUUUCGAACCGCAUGGUUCGAUAGUGAAAGAUGGCUUUGCUAUCACUUAUAGAUGGACCUGCGCCGUAUUAGCUAGUUGGUAAGGUAACGGCUUACCAAGGCAACGAUACGUAGCCGACCUGAGAGGGUGAUCGGCCACACUGGAACUGAGACACGGUCCAGACUCCUACGGGAGGCAGCAGUAGGGAAUCUUCCGCAAUGGGCGAAAGCCUGACGGAGCAACGCCGCGUGAGUGAUGAAGGUCUUCGGAUCGUAAAACUCUGUUAUUAGGGAAGAACAAACGUGUAAGUAACUGUGCACGUCUUGACGGUACCUAAUCAGAAAGCCACGGCUAACUACGUGCCAGCAGCCGCGGUAAUACGUAGGUGGCAAGCGUUAUCCGGAAUUAUUGGGCGUAAAGCGCGCGUAGGCGGUUUUUUAAGUCUGAUGUGAAAGCCCACGGCUCAACCGUGGAGGGUCAUUGGAAACUGGAAAACUUGAGUGCAGAAGAGGAAAGUGGAAUUCCAUGUGUAGCGGUGAAAUGCGCAGAGAUAUGGAGGAACACCAGUGGCGAAGGCGACUUUCUGGUCUGUAACUGACGCUGAUGUGCGAAAGCGUGGGGA
rnacentral:rRNA from 1 species